UUAACGUACUGAGUAAGAAUAUAUCUUAAGUUUUCAGUUUUGACCCCGUUUGGUCACUGAAAACUGUACCGAACUGUAAUCUUUAUCAGAUAGCUGUCGAAUUUUAUUUCUCACUCUACGGGUGUCAGAAAAAUAUGAAACUUUAUAUCUAGUCUCAUAAAAAUAUUUCUGGUUUAUCCUCCAAUUUUCAUAAUUUUCUGAGACUGUGCAUUUUCUGCCUAUUUAUCUGUCCCGUUUCCAACAGAAAAUUCUAGAUCUUCUGUUUUCAUUCCGAUUUCAGCACAAGUCACUUCUGACUUAUGUUUUACUCCUCUAAAUCCAAUAAAAAUAGUAUCUCACACUAUUUUUAUUUAUUUUUAUUUUUAUAUUUAAAAUUCGGUAUAUUACAUUCCAUCGCAACCUCACCGGAAUCAUUCAAAUGGCUUUCAAACCAAAUGUACACCAUAACUUCAUAAUUUUAGAAGUCUGGUACCUUACAUC
rnacentral:lncRNA from 1 species